ensembl:lncRNA
CAUACCUAAAGGGAGACUACAAACAGGGGGGGAGUCAACUCUUUUCAAGGGUAGAUGAUGACAGGACUAGGGGAAACUGUUUUAAGUUGUGAGGGAGGGAAGAUUAAAGUUGGAUACGGGGGAAAUUCUUUACAGAGGGAGUGAUGCGGUGCUGGAACAGCUGCCCAGAGAGGCUGUGGAUGCCCCGUCCAUCACUGGAGGAGUUCAGGGCCAGGUUGGAAGGGGCGCUGGGCAGCCUGGUCUGGUCUUAGAUGUGGAGGUUGGGAGCCCUGCAAGAAGCAGGUUUUUGUAGCUUGAUGAUCCUUGAGGUCCCUUCCAACAGAGGCCAUUGUAGGAGUCUAUGAGUCUAUGGAUUCUUCCUGCACAUGAGGGAGGAUGAAAGCAAACCUAUGGCUCGGCCCUGGCAUGGAGCUGGGCAGUGGAGCAAGCACGUGUUCCAGGUUAGCAGGCAGAGAUGCACCUCCUGCAGGGACUUGCGAGGCCACAGGCACAACCUGCUUGGCAGAACGCUGAACAUACCUGAAACAGGAGGUUGUGGAGGGCUGGGAAGGGGCAGGAAGGGGAGGGAGAGGAAGUAAUGGGAAAUGGUGGGGAAGGAUGGCCAGGAAGUUGCAGAGCACAGGGAGAUGGAGGGGGGAAAGACGAGAGCAGAGGGUGAAGAACUCAGGAGAUGUGAGCCUCUGCUGUGUGGCCAUCCCCUGCUGAAUGCUCCCCGCUGCCUGCGCCUGGUGCCCUUCCCAGGAAAACGUACACCCAGGGAUGCUCCUUCCCUGUGCAAAUGGGGCAGCUCUUCUGCCUCUCUGCACGGCCCUGGCUGUUUCUCUGGUUGGGACAGGAGCACUUCAGACCCCCCUCUGCAGCUCCCCUCCCUCCAGCCUGCUGGACUGCAGUGAAAUCCCUUCUCUCAGCUCUUCUUUUGCUUACUUUAAGGAUGUGUUCAGUCUUGGGAUGCGCUCAGCCAUAUAUCUUUCAUGGAUACAUAUCAUGGAUAUCUAUUUGGGUGCCCAGACCAUGGGGAUGAGACUUAUUUAUAGAGGUGGAGAAAGACCACUGAGAUCAUCUGAUCCAUCCAUCUCAUUUUCAAUUAAAUUUAUUGACAACAACAGCAACAACAUAAUCAUGUGCCUCCUUCAACCCCAUCUCCCAAACAAACCAUGUUCCAUUCUGAUUACUUCUCUAAAGGAAAGUUAUUUUAAUAUGUAACAGUGACUUUUCUAUACAGAAACAAUUGCAUUUGAACACCUAUACCUAAUGAAGUAACUGUAUAUUCUACUUUAAAC